CCUACGGGUGGCUGCAGUGAGGAAUAUUGGUCAAUGGGCGCGAGCCUGAACCAGCCAAGUAGCGUGAAGGAUGACUGCCCUACGGGUUGUAAACUUCUUUUAUAAGGGAAUAAAGUGAGUCACGUGUGCCGUUUUGUAUGUACUUUAUGAAUAAGGAUCGGCUAACUCCGUGCCAGCAGCCGCGGUAAUACGGAGGAUCCGAGCGUUAUCCGGAUUUAUUGGGUUUAAAGGGAGCGUAGAUGGGUUGUUAAGUCAGUUGUGAAAGUUUGCGGCUCAACCGGAACAUUGCAGUUGAUACUGGCAGUCUUGAGUACACUUGAGGUAGGCGGAAUUCGUGGUGUAGCGGUGAAAUGCUUAGAUAUCACGAAGAACCCCGAUUGCGAAGGCAGCUUACUACAGUGCAACUGACGUUGAUGCUCGAAAGUGUGGGUAUCAAACAGGAUUAGAUACCCUUGUAGUC
rnacentral:rRNA from 1 species